UUUUUGCCUACUUUUAAGGCUCAUGACGUUCGCUAAAUAUGACUGAUGCGAAUGGACAUAACUGAUGGGACCACUCAGAUGAUGGUCCCUUCAAGGUUUUAAUUACUUUGCAGUGGCUUUUCAUUUUCUUCCUCCUUUAAAUUUAUACUUUGAAGGCAUAGGUAGCCAUAGAUCUUCUCCCAUUAUGAUUUCUUAGGGUAGG
rnacentral:lncRNA from 1 species